rnacentral:lncRNA from 1 species
ACCAAAUCUCUUUAGGGACUGUAAACAUACCCGUCCCAGGGAUUGUGAACACACCCGUCCCGCCCAGUUAAGACUAUCCAGCUACCUCCACACUAUCCAGUCCGUGGAGAGCAAGUCUAACCGGCAUGCACGACACUAACGCAAAAGCACAGCGCCCGCCUCCGGAGUGGCACUCGUGGGAGCUACCCAACCGAGUAUGCAGCGUAUCUCUGUCGAGCUCAAUCAGGCUCUCUCAAGCCAAAGUCCAAGUAACCAACACUAACUGGUCUAACAACUCACAGUCACGUGCCCUCGGCACAAUCCGACGCCAAAAAGGCGAUACGGGUCCACCGUCAACCCCGACGGCACCCAACAGUCUGGAACAGCCUGAACACUACUGUAAAAAUACACUCGGC